ensembl:lncRNA
AGAAGGUACUCCAUACUGAUUGGUUAUAUGAGUGAGUGAAUGAAUGGACACGUGCUUUCAUUACUCUCAGACAUUACCCAGGAGUGGAAUUGCUGGUCACAUAUGAUUGUGUGCACAGUCUGGCCGGUUGCCCGCAGCAUUCUACCUGCUGCGCUGGGAAAGGCUGAGCCUCCAUGGAGAAAAAGAGGCGCCAUUGUAUAGAACACUCUCCCAUGCGCAAGCUCCAAGAGACUUCAUGCCAGGCAGAGGACACAGGAUAUGCUGAUAAUUAAGUGUCCAAGAUGGAUGGAGCACCACAGAAAUUCACUGAAGGCUGCUAGCCAGGAGACUCAAGAAGGAAUUGUUAAAAGAGAGAACUAUCCAAACAUUGUCCUCUCCCUUUGGAGCCUAAACAGGAAAGAAAACUCUUAGCCCAGAAGAAGCUAGCUCCUUCUACCAGAGCUGUCUGAAAGAAAGGAAACUGCAGCCUGAGAUAGUGAGACCAGGAGAGGUGCUCAAGCAUAAGAAGAACAAAUGCUUGGCAAGGAAGUAUCACCAGGAGGCCUCAAGCAUCAG